GACGAACCGUCCAAACGUUUAUUCGGAAUCACUGGGCUUAAAGGGUGCGUAGGCGGCGCGGAAAGUUGGGUGUGAAAUCCCUCGGCUCAACCGAGGAACUGCGCCCAAAACUACCGUGCUCGAGGGAGAUAGAGGUGAGCGGAACUUAGGGUGGAGCGGUGAAAUGCGUUGAUAUCCUAAGGAACACCGGUGGCGAAAGCGGCUCACUGGAUCUCUUCUGACGCUGAGGCACGAAAGCUAGGGUAGCGAACGGG
rnacentral:rRNA from 1 species